rnacentral:rRNA from 1 species
GAUGAACGCUAGCGGCAGGCUUAAUACAUGCAAGCCGUGGGGCAGCAUGAAUGUAGCAAUACAUUUGAUGGCGACCGGCAAACGGGUGCGGAACACGUACACAACCUUCCUAUAAGUGGGGAAUAGCCCAGAGAAAUUUGGAUUAAUACCCCGUAACAUAACGAUGUGGCAUCACAUUGUUAUUAUAGCUUCGGCGCUCAUUGAUGGGUGUGCGGCUGAUUAGAUAGUUGGCGGGGUAACGGCCCACCAAGUCUACGAUCAGUAGCUGAUGUGAGAGCAUGAUCAGCCACACGGGCACUGAGACACGGGCCCGACUCCUACGGGAGGCAGCAGUAAGGAAUAUUGGUCAAUGGACGCAAGUCUGAACCAGCCAUGCCGCGUGAAGGAUUAAGGUCCUCUGGAUUGUAAACUUCUUUUAUCUGGGACGAAAAAAGGCGUUUCUAAGUCACUUGACGGUACCAGAUGAAUAAGCACCGGCUAACUCCGUGCCAGCCGCCGCGGUAAGAC